GCGCCCCUCUUCAAAUUUGAAGCAUGUUGAACAAACACGUGGCUCUCUCUCAAUCUUCUAAAGCCUAACAUGUCAAAUAAAGACUUCUCCAUUGAGAAGCCUCUAUUUUAAUAUAUAUAUAUAUAUAUAUAUAUAUAUAUAAUAUAUUAGAUUUGUGAGAUCUUUAUUCCUUUGUCAAACAAAUGUUGUUUGAUCACCCAAACC
rnacentral:lncRNA from 1 species